UACGUAGGGGGCAAGCGUUGUCCGGAGUUAUUGGGCGUAAAGAGCGUGUAGGCGGUUUGGUAGGUCCGUUGUGAAAACUCGAGGCUCAACCUCGAGACGCCGGCGGAAACCAUCAGGCUAGAGUCCGGAAGAGGAGAGUGGAAUUCCCGGUGUAGCGGUGAAAUGCGUAGAUAUCAGGAGGAACACCGGUGGUGUAAACGGCUUUCUGGACCAUAACUGACGCUGAGGCACGAAAGCGUGGGUAGCAAACAGG
rnacentral:rRNA from 1 species